AUAGAUUAAAUCACUUUUAGAGUGUCAUAUGAGGAUUUUCACAAUAGUAUUAUAACUCUGUAUCUCUCUUCACUGACAGGGGGAGGCAGGGCCAGAUGGUAGUCCAGGCACACCUGGAGAAGCUGGCAAGCCUGUACAUUUUCAAGAAGCCAUUAAGUAACAUUAUUUAACCAUCUGAGACUUCCCUUCACCAAACAAAAACUGUUUCUAUGUUUCCUUUUAACAGGGAACAAAAGGUAGACGAGGCCCUGCAGGAAUACCGGGUGCCAGGGGACCUCCAGGAGCACCGGGAUUACAAGGAACCUCUGGGGCUCCAGGGCCAGUGGUACAACUACAUUCUGUUUAAAACAAAUUGAACCUGACUUUUUAAAUUGACAUUUUAGGAUAAUCAC
ensembl:lncRNA